rnacentral:rRNA from 1 species
UCGGGAAUUUUGGGCAAUGGGCGAAAGCCUGACCCAGCAACGCCGCGUGAAGGAUGAAGUAUUUCGGUAUGUAAACUUCGAAAGAAUAGGAAGAAUAAAUGACGGUACUAUUUAUAAGGUCCGGCUAACUACGUGCCAGCAGCCGCGGUAAUACGUAGGGACCAAGCGUUGUUCGGAUUUACCGGGCGUAAAGGGCGCGUAGGCGGCAUGACAAGUCACUUGUGAAAUCUCUGGGCUUAACCCAGAACGGCCAAGUGAUACUGUCGCGCUAGAGUGCAGAAGGGGCAAUCGGAAUUCUUGGUGUAGCGGUGAAAUGCGUAGAUAUCAAGAGGAACACCUGAGGUGAAGACGGGUUGCUGGGCUGACACUGACGCUGAGGCGCGAAAGCCAGGGGAGCAAACGGGAUUAGAUACCCCAGUAGUCCCUGAGCGGGCUGGCAAGGCGCAU